GCCGGAGUGGCGGAAUGGUAUACGCGGUGGAUUCAAAACCCGCUCCCGUAAGGGUUGAGAGUUCGAGUCUCUCCUCCGGCA
rnacentral:tRNA from 1 species